rnacentral:rRNA from 1 species
GUCGAGAAUUUUGGGCAAUGGACGAAAGUCUGACCCAGCAAUGCCGCGUGCGGGAUGAAGGUCUUCGGAUUGUAAACCGCUGUCGAGGGGGACGAAAUAUGACGGUACCCCUGGAGGAAGCCACGGCUAACUACGUGCCAGCAGCCGCGGUAAUACGUAGGUGGCGAGCGUUGUUCGGAUUUAUUGGGCGUAAAGGGUCCGCAGGGGGUUGAUUAAGUCUGACGUGAAAUCUCUGAGCUCAACUCAGAAAUUGCGUUGGAGACUGGUUGACUAGAGUGUUGGAGAGGUAAUUGGAAUUCCAGGUGUAGCGGUGGAAUGCGUAGAUAUCUGGAAGAACAUCGAAAGCGAAGGCAGAUUACUGGACAACAACUGACCCUCAGGGACGAAAGCAUGGGGAGCAAACAGGAUUAGAUACCCCGGUAGUCC